rnacentral:rRNA from 1 species
AUUGAACGCUGGCGGCAGGCCUAACACAUGCAAGUCGAGCGCGCGGCGGGCGGGUGAGUAAUGUCUGGGAAACUGCCUGAUGGAGGGGGGUAACUACUGGAAACGGUAGCUAAUACCGCAUACCCUCAGAUGUGCCCAGAUGGGAUUAGCUAGUUGGUGGGGUAACGGCGCCCCUAGGCGACGAUCCCUAGCUGGUCUGAGAGGAUGACCAGCCACACUGGAACUGAGACACGGUCCAGACUCCUACGGGAGGCAGCAGUGGGGAAUAUUGCACAAUGGGCGCAAGCCUGAUGCAGCCAUGCCGCGUGUGUGAAGAAGGCCUUCGGGUUGUAAAGCACUUUCAGCGGGGAGGCGUUACCCGCAGAAGAAGCACCGGCUAACUCCGUGCCAGCAGCCGCGGUAAUAC